rnacentral:rRNA from 1 species
AACGAACGCUGGCGGCAUGCCUAACACAUGCAAGUCGAACGAGACCUUCGGGUCUAGUGGCGCACGUGUGCGUAACGCGUUGGAACCUGCCCUUAUGUUCUGAAUAACUCCCCGAAAGGGGUGCUAAUACCUGAUAAUGUCUUCGGACCAAAGAUUUAUCGCCUUUGGAUGGGCCCGCGUUGGUUUAGCUAGUUGGUAGGGUAAAAGCCUGCCAAGGCGAUGAUCCAUAGCUGGUCUGAGAGGAUGAUCAGCCACGAUGGGACUGAGACACGGCCCAGACUCCUACGGGAGGGAGCAGUGGAGAAUAUUGGACAAUGGGCGAAGGCCUGAUCCAGCAAUGCCGCGUGAGUGAUGAAGGCCUUAGGGUUGUAAAGCUCUUUUACACGGGAUGAUAAUGACAGUACCGGGAGAAUAAGCUCCGGCUAACUCCGUG